rnacentral:rRNA from 1 species
UACGUAGGGUGCAAGCGUUUGUCCGGAAUUAUUGGGCGUAAAGCGUGCGCAGGCGGUUGUGCAAGACAGAUGUGAAAUCCCCGGGCUCAACCUGGGAAUUGCAUUUGUGACUGCACGGCUAGAGUGUGUCAGAGGGGGGUAGAAUUCCACGUGUAGCAGUGAAAUGCGUAGAUAUGUGGAGGAAUACCGAUGGCGAAGGCAGCCCCCUGGGAUAACACUGACGCUCAUGCACGAAAGCGUGGGGAGCAAACAGG